rnacentral:misc_RNA from 1 species
UCUUUUUUUUUUUUCUUUUUUUUUCUCCCUUUUUGUUGUGUCCUUUAGUUAGUGUUUCUAGCCAUCUCUGUUAUUAUACUCUGAAGUGGUUAUCGUUGAAGAGGGGAAUGCAAGUUCGGGAUGGGGCUGCAGGAAUAGAGGUGUAUAAUGUUUUUAGGUUUUGGUGAAAAAGUACUAACAAAGUAGGAAUUUCUCAGUUUCUUUUUUCUUUUUCUCUUUAAUGCAACUUUGUUGGGUGAUGAUGGGUUGUAGAAUAUG